UUUAUAGUUAUUUCGUCUAUUAUUCAUCAAAUCCGCACGUGUAUAGAUUAUAUUAUAUUAGUCCAAAGUCAACACGACACGAGCACACAACUAUACGAGUGAUCUACUGAAAAACGAUACGUAAAUGAAUGUGUGUUAUUGAAACAACUUUUUUACAUAAAUAAUGAAGUCAUUACAAGUUAGUUGACAGAAACCCAUAAGAGAAGGAAGUGUCAAAAUAUUUGGUUGUCACUGAAUCGUCACAAGUAACGGAUUGAAGAGGUUUAUGUUAAGGUGAUAAGGAGACAAUAAUAAUGAUAUAGGUACACUGCAGAUAAGUUUAAGGAAGAGAAGAUACAACCACGGGUGUAAACUAUGCGCCUAUCUGUCUGCCAAAUAUUGGAGAUUCAGCGUACACCCGCUGGAAAGAAAACAAUAAUAGCAUAACGGAAACGCUGAACACGAAGGCCAGGGGAAAUGCGCGUUGGCCGCCGCCGCUGCCGCAGUCGUUUUUUCACUCGAUCCAUGUUUUUGAUUCCACCCCAGCUCUUAUAUACGCACACAAUAUGCAUCAGAUGGCCAAUGGCCAUAUCGAGAGACCGGAGACGAUUUACGCCAAGAAAAAUGUCCAAAAGUGGUGGUGAAAACAUCGUAUAUUGUGACAACUGCAGCAGAUACCAGACGUCAUCGACUUUACUAACCACGGUCAAGUCUGGAUUAAUGAUAAGGGGAGGGAUUAAUGAUCUGGUUGAUAACUAACCAGAGGCAUAGCAGUCUUGCGCGAUUAUACCAUAACCAUAUGAUGGAUUAUAUUAUUGUUUAUAAUUGUAAUGAUUAAACGAUAAUACGAUGUCUGUAGUA